rnacentral:rRNA from 1 species
CCCCUACGGGGCGCAGCAGUAGGGGAUAUUGGACAAUGGGGGAAACCCUGAUCCAGCGACGCCGCGUGAGUGAAGAGGUAUUUCGGUAUGUAAAGCUCUGUCAGCAGGGAAGAAAGAAAUGACGGUACCUGACCAAGAAGCCCCGGCUAACUACGUGCCAGCAGCCGCGGUAAUACGUAGGGGGCAAGCGUUAUCCGGAAUUACUGGGUGUAAAGGGAGCGUAAACGGUGAUGCAAGUCUGGAGUGAAAGGCGGGGCCCAACCCCCGGACUGCUUUGGAGACUGGAUAACUGGAGUGCAGGAGAG